rnacentral:tRNA from 2 species
AUUUUCUUAGUAUAAUAAGUAUUGGUGGCUUCCAACCAUCCGGCCCUGGUUAAACCCCGGGAGAAAAUA